rnacentral:rRNA from 1 species
UUUUAAGUAAAAUCUGCUCAAUGAUUUUAAAUAGCCGCAGAAUUUCUGUGCUAAGGUAGCAUAAUCAUUUGCCUUUUAAUUAAAGGCUGGAAUGAAUGAUUUAACAUUUUAAUUUCUAUCUUAAUUGUUAAAGUGAAAAUUAUACUAAGCAUAAAAAUAUGCUUAUAUCAAAAAUAGACGACAAGACCCUAUUGAACUUUACUUUAGUUUAGCUGGGGCAGCUAAAUAAUAAAUAUUUUAUUUAAACCCCUUUAAAAAAUGACCCAAUAUAAUUGAUUUAAUGAACAAGUUACCAUAGGGAUAACAGUAUAAUUUUUUCUUAUACUCUUAUUAAAGAGAAAGAUUAUAACCUCGAUGUUGAAUUAUUACCCUUAUUAACGCAAGAGUUAACUAAGGGGGUCUGUUCGACCCUUAAAUUUUUACA